CAUGGUUGUCGUCAGCUCGUGUCGUGAGAUGUUGGUUAAGUCCCGCAACGAGCGCAACCCCUACGUUUAGUUGCUAACGCGUGAAGGCGAGCACUCUAGACGAACUGCCGUUGACAAAACGGAGGAAGGUGGGGAUGACGUCAAAUCAUCAUGCCCCUUAUGUUCUGGGCUACACACGUGCUACAAUGGCCGGUACAGACGGACGCAAAGCCGCGAGGUGGAGCAAAUCCUAAAAAGCCGGUCUCAGUUCGGAUUGCAGGCUGCAAUUCGCCUGCAUGAAGUCGGAAUCGCUAGUAAUCGCAGGUCAGCAUACUGCGGUGAAUACGUUCCCGGGCCUU
rnacentral:rRNA from 1 species